CUGAAGCUGAAUUUGAAUUCAGGUCCUCCUGACUCCAGGACUGGUGCUCUUUCUAUUGUGCCAUUUUAGCUAUCCCUGUCUUUGAUUUAUUUGGAGUAUAUUAUUAGUUGUGCCAUUCAUGGAUCAAAGAGUAUGAAUGUUUUGAUCAUCACAUUUUCAAUAUAAUUCCAAAUUAUAUUAUAGAAUUGUUGAUCCAAACUCACAACUCAACCAACAGUGUAUUAGUAUGUAUAUCUUACCAUAGCCUCUCCUGCAGUAUUUCCAUAUUUUGUCAUUUUUACCAAUUUGCUGUGUGAGGUGAAACAUCAGAAUUGCUUAGACUUGUAUUUUCCAUAAUAGUAGUAAGAGCUUUCUUUCAUGUGAUUGUUAACAAUAUAUGAUUACAUCGAGAACUCUUCAUUCAGAUUCUUUGGCCACUUCUUCAUUGUAGUCUUUUAUAUUUAAAGCACUUUCUAAAAGAAGAUAUAUUAGAAAACUUGUAGCUUCUAUGGUUUCUCUCCCCUCUAGAAUUAAAGACAUCAGACAUAGGCAAUCACCUUACAUGAGCACCUAAAGUCACUGGUUACCUUUAGCAGACAGACUGCUCAGGUUGCUUUAUACUGAAUUGGGAGAUAUGUGAAGUAUCUAUGUAGGAUAAAUAUUUGGAGAAGUAAACUAAGAAAUAAAUGGACAUAGUCUGGAUCUGUGGGUGUUUCCACACUCUGGGUAUUAGAGAAAGGAGGUAGUUGUUUUAGGUAACUAGAUUUAAGCUAUGUGACUUUCAGAAAUGUAAAAAUUUGAAAGAGAUAUAUGUGUCUGAAAUCUGCAGUGAUCAAAUAAAGUGGUGAAAUUUUCUUGGAUUUUUGUAGGGGCUAUGAAAGAUGGUCUUUCUGUUAAAAAGUAGUCACCUUUUGAUGCUACAUGAUUCCAAGUCAUGGAACACCCACAAUCUUCAAAGAAUCUAAAUUACAGAGCACCAGUGGCAUUUUACAUGAAUGUGGAGAUUAAUGUCUUGCAUGCUGAGCUCCAGCCAGUGUUACAUAUCAAAGCUUUCCUGUGAAUGCCUCAUAAG